GCCGGGGUAACUCAGCCUGGUAGAGUGCGGGGCUCAUAACCCCGUUGUCCCGGGUUCAAAUCCCGGCCCCGGCA
rnacentral:tRNA from 1 species